UUACCCACAUUAUAUGUGAUUGAAAGAGACGAUCUUAAGCCGAGGAUUUCUUAAUUUACCAGAAUGAUGCGCUGGACACUUGAAGUAAGAGCCCUUUGAAGCUGACGUGCUGCAGGAUAAAACACACUCUUUCCCAUUGUUGAGAAAGUUAUUCCAUGACAACAGAAGACCUCAAUUUGAACCUUGAACACUUCUGAAGAGAGUACUCCAAACCAAAAUGUUGGGGUUCAGUAACUGAGACAAAAACCAUUACAUGCUUUCAAUAUGAAGUUACAUUUGUAUCAUUGAUUGACUUGGUGGAAACUAUGGAAUGUCUGUCCUUAUGGGGCGUCUUUAAUUUUUGCUCAAAGUACUUAAAAGUGUGCUUUAGUCUGGCUUUUGUCCUGAUCUCAAAAAACUGAACCUGCUAGAAAGCAGGUCUCUUAGAGCUGGUAGACCAGCCAGAGGAGAUUACAGCAAUCAGAGUUAGGUGAUAUUUGCUCAAAAGUCUAUGGAUAUAGAAUAACAAAUUUUCUCAACAUAAAAGUGAAAAGUCGAUAUAAAAAUUUAAUUUGAUCUGCUGAGAAAAGUUGGUCUGGCCUGAUAAAAUUAAAUGGAUAGAAAUAAUAUUUUGGAGACUUAAAUUUUAUUUUCAUUGUCUUGCGACUGAACAAAUAAGUACUCUAAGUAAGAAGAAGGGCUAAAAUUCCCAUUUCAUGAGAAAUAUUCUCUAACAAAGAGUUUUUGGGCUACAUAUUUUUCACUUUCAUAAAUUCUAAAAGGAGAAUAGUUGAUGUGGACAUUAAAAUAAUUGGCUUUCUUGGAUCACAAAAUGACAAAGCAAAGCUGAUCUAUCUAAGAGUUUAAAAAGCAAUGUGGUUGGCCCUGCCUGAAGAAAAUGUACUAUGUGAAACCAAAAAUUUACAGAUGAAUAAACUAAGGGAUGAUUAUUCAUACUGUAAAAGAGUCUUUAAAGAAUUCCCCUAGGAUUCUUUUAAAGGCUGAGUUCCACUAGUUCAUGAAAGUGUUUGUAUGCAGAUCAUUAACUAUUUGACAGGCAGACUGGAAAU
rnacentral:lncRNA from 1 species